UGCAACUUGCAUCUCCAUAAAUAUUAGCUAUGGCAAUUUAAGGUUGUGAACUGAAGCCAAUUGAUGAUUUACAUUGUGACAGGUGAUUUUAAAAAUUAUUUAUUGCUGUGAUAUGUUAUAAUGUGUCUGCUUUUUCAGAAGUUUCUUUGAUACUUGUGAUGAAUCAACUGAAUAAUUUUAAAGUAGUGGCCUGAUGACCAUUGAUGAAAAACUUUUUGCCGAGGGAUUUCUUGUUUACAUUUAGUGUUAAGUAGUUUUUGCCUUAAUUUUACCACAAAUGUACUGUCAAUUUGCAUAUACAAUGGCACUCGGUAUUACAUGUUUAUGCCUAAAAAUCUAAAAAUGUGGUGUCUUUUUUCUUGUUAGGCAUCAGUCAUCACUAUUCUGGAGUGCUAGUCAAUAAUAUGGUUAUUUACAUCGUCUUAGAAUAUUGUUAUACUGCGAUAUGUUAUAAUGUGUCUUGAUUUUUCAGAAGUAUUUAAAUCCCGAUGAUGAAGUUAGCUGAAUAAUUUAAAAGUAGUGGCCUGAUGACCAUUGAUGAAAAGCUUUACUCUGAGGGAUUUCAUGUUUCUUUGCUUUGUUUCUUCUUCUUCUUCACAAAGGGACUUGAUAUGGUUAAACUAGUUUUUGUUUUAGUUAACAUAUGUUGUGUCAAUUCGCACGUACAAUUGUACGCGAUAGUGUUUUUAAGCCCUUUUUCUUUUUGCCAAUACAUAUUGUCUUUUUCUUGCUAGCCAUCAUCCUUCUACUACUAUUGUUUUCUUAGUCAGUAAUUUGGUAAUAUACUUCAUCUUAAAGUAUUUUCUUGUAUUCAUACAUGGGUAUAGCCAGGUGAUGCCGGAAAAUUAUAUGGUUAAAAUUACUUUUUUUGUAGACAUAGUAGAUGUUGAACCUCAUUCGGCUUCUUUGUGUGUUAACUUCUUCAUAUUUUGAUCCCUUAAGUGAAAAUCUUGGCCUUGCCACUGUUUAUACAUACGAUGCUUAAUAAGAUACUUUCAACUAUUGUGCAAAUAUAGUACAUAGAUAUUGCCAAAGGUUCUUAUUCAGAUCCCUGUGUUAGAUUGUGUGGAGCCAAAAAAAAAAAUAUGGUGAACUUGUUUUUGCUUUAAUUGUACCACAUCUGUGGUGUCGAUUUGCUUGUACAAUGGCACUCAAUAUUACAUUUAAUAUAUUUUCUUGUAUAUAUAUACCUAAGAUACUUAUGUAAUGUUACUCAACUUUCAACUGUCAAUUCUGAGUUGUACCAUAUUAUAGUUUUAUGAGUUGGAUGUGAUGAAUAGAUUUUGUCAAAGGUACUUGUUCAGAUUCUUCCUUUGUUUGAUAUACUUGUCCCCUUGUUUGUUGUAAGAUUGUGUGGAGUUCAAAAAAAGAGAACAAGAUUGUACUUGACAUUGUUUGUUGCUUUAUCUCUAGUUGUCAUCCACAUCAAGGGUUCAAGUAACAACAACAAUUUACUCUGUAUAAUCUCACAAGUGGUGUUUGAAGAGGAUAGAAUGUAUGCAAAAGUGGCGUCUCCGAUAAACCGUCCAUCAAAAGAUAAGAGUUCAAGGAAUAUAACCCAAAAUAUAUGAAUGUUUGGAGAGGAUAGAAUGUACGCAAAAGUGGCGUUUCUGAUCAAAAAGAUAAGGGUCCAAGGAAUAUAGCCCAAUAUAUAUGAAGGGACAACUAUGAGAACAAAGAUAGAGAACUAGAUAUGUACAAAAUUACAAGAUUGAUUCUCCUGUUUGCAUCCAAAGCUCUGAUUUGAGUUUGUGUAUUACAAUAUUUUAGAUACUAUUUAUAAACAAUUUGAGUUUAAACAUUUUAUAUUGUCCUUUAUUAAAUGAUUUAG
rnacentral:lncRNA from 1 species